rnacentral:rRNA from 1 species
GCCUAUGUUCAAAUCCCCCAGAAUGCAGCCGAUCUCGUCAGAUCUCGGAAGCUAAGCAGGUUUGAACAUGGGCAAUACUUGGAUGGAUUCGACCAUGAUGCACAAACAAUUUGUCAUGAGGCC